rnacentral:rRNA from 1 species
AGCGAACGCUGGCGGCAGGCUUAACACAUGCAAGUCGAGCGGGCAUAGCAAUAUGUCAGCGGCAGACGGGUGAGUAACGCGUGGGAACGUACCUUUUGGUUCGGAACAACUGAGGGAAACUUCAGCUAAUACCGGAUAAGCCCUUACAGGGAAAGAUUUAUCGCCGAAAGAUCGGCCCGCGUCUGAUUAGCUAGUUUGUGAGGUAAUGGCUCACCAAGGCGACGAUCAGUAGCUGGUCUGAGAGGAUGAUCAGCCACAUUGGGACUGAGACACGGCCCAAACUCCUACGGGAGGCAGCAGUGGGGAAUAUUGGACAAUGGGCGCAAGCCUGAUCCAGCCAUGCCGCGUGAGUGAUGAAGGCCCUAGGGUUGUAAAGCUCUUUUGUGCGGGAAGAUAAUGACGGUACCGCAAGAAUAAGCCCCGGCUAACUUCGUG